CCCUUAGAUGUCCUGGGCUGCACGCGCGCUACACUGACGAACUCAACGAGCUUAUCACCUUGGCAGAGAUGUCUGGGUAAUCUUUUGAAAGUUCGUCGUGCUGGGGAUAGAUGAUUGUAAUUAUUCGUCUUGAACGAGGAAUUCCUAGUAAGUGUGAGUCAUCAGCUCGCGCUGAUUACGUCCCUGCCCUUUGUACACACCGCCCGUCGCUCCUACCGAUUGAAUGGUCCGGUGAGGUUCUCGGAUUUUUUCUGUUGUUUGGUUCGCUAAACGAUUGAAGAGAGAAGUUACCCAAACCUUACCAUUUAGGGGAAGGAGAAGUCGUAACA
rnacentral:rRNA from 1 species